rnacentral:pre_miRNA from 1 species
AGGGGGAGUGCCAUAACUUGGGCUGUGUCUCCCAGCGCUCUGGGCUCCCGGGCCUGCACUGCUGUAAUCGCGGUCCCAGGGGAUGCAGCCCCCU